GUGAGGAAUAUUGGUCAAUGGGCGAGAGCCUGAACCAGCCAAGUCGCGUGAAGGAUGAAGGUUUUAUGAAUUGUAAACUUCUUUUGCAGGGGAAUAAAGUACGGUACGUGUACCGUUUUGUAUGUACUCUGCGAAUAAGGAUCGGCUAACUCCGUGCCAGCAGCCGCGGUAAUACGGAGGAUCCAAGCGUUAUCCGGAUUUAUUGGGUUUAAAGGGUGCGCAGGCGGGUUGAUAAGUCAGCGGUGAAAGUUUGCAGCUUAACUGUAAAAUUGCCGUUGAAACUGUCGAUCUUGAGUGCAAAUGAGGUAAGCGGAAUGUGUUGUGUAGCGGUGAAAUGCUUAGAUAUAACACAGAACACCGAUUGCGAAGGCAGCUUACUGGGAUGCAACUGACGCUCAUGCACGAAAGCGUGGGGAGCAAACAGGAUUAGAUACCCUUGUAGUCC
rnacentral:rRNA from 1 species